UACGAAGGGGGCUAGCGUUGUUCGGAUUUACUGGGCGUAAAGCGCACGUAGGCGGAUCGAUCAGUCAGGGGUGAAAUCCCAGAGCUCAACUCUGGAACUGCCUUUGAUACUGUCGAUCUGGAGUAUGGAAGAGGUGAGUGGAAUUCCGAGUGUAGAGGUGAAAUUCGUAGAUAUUCGGAGGAACACCAGUGGCGAAGGCGGCUCACUGGUCCAUUACUGACGCUGAGGUGCGAAAGCGUGGGGAGCGAACCGG
rnacentral:rRNA from 1 species